AUUAGACUUAGUCUGGGCCGAUCCAGAGGUGGAGAACGGACGCUCAAAAUCUCCAAAUUCCACCUGUACACAGACACGGAGUGCAGGCAGUGAGGCGGACAGUCCUGGUGUUUUCUGACUUGCCGGUGUGAUGCUCCUUGGAGGCCUGCUCCCAUUUGGAGAUAAUGUCGCAAAUCUGCACAUGAGACGAGACACCUUUGUGUGGGAAAACGCGGAUUUUUCAAUCUUCCUAAAGUA